rnacentral:rRNA from 1 species
UACGGAAGGUCCAAGCGUUAAUCGGAAUUACUGGGCGUAAAGCGCGCGUAGGUGGUUUAUUAAGUUGGAUGUGAAAGCCCCGUGGCUCAACCUGGGAACUGCAUCCAAAACUGAUUCACUAGAGUACGAAAGAGGGAGGUAGAAUUCACAGUGUAGCGGUGGAAUGCGUAGAUAUUGUGAAGAAUAUCAAUGGCGAAGGCAGCCUCCUGGUUCUGUACUGACACUGAGGUGCGAAAGCGUGGGUAGCGAACAGGAUUAGAUACCCUGGUAGUCCACGCCGUAAACGAUGACAACUAGCUGUUGGGAAGCAAUGCUUUUCAGUGGCGCAGCUAACGUAUUAAGUUGUCCGCCUGGGGAGUACGGCCGCAAGGUUAAAACUCAAAUGAAUUGACGGGGACCCGCACAAGCGGUGGAGCAUGUGGUUUAAUUCGAUGCAACGCGAAAAACCUUACCUACUCUUGACAUCCUUGGAAUCUCUUGUAAUGAGAGAGUGCCUUUUGGAACCAAGUGACAGGUGCUGCAUGGCUGUCGUCAGCUCGUGUCGUGAGAUGUUCCGUUAAGUCGGAUAACGAGCGCAACCCUUACCCUUAUUUGCCAGCGGUCCGGCCGGGAACUAUAAGGGGACUGCCGGUGAUAAACCGGAGGAAGGUGAGGAUGACGUCAAGUCAUCAUGGCCCUUACGAGUAGGGCUACACACGUGCUACAAUGGGAAGUACAGAGGGACGCCAAAGCGUGAGCUGGAGCUAAUCUCAUAAAACUUUUCGUAGUCCGGAUUGCAGUCUGCAACUCGACUGCAUGAAGUCGGAAUCGCUAGUAAUCGCGGAUCAACACGCCGCGGUGAAUACGUUCUCGGGUCU